rnacentral:rRNA from 1 species
GACGAACGCUGGCGGCGUGCUUAACACAUGCAAGUCGAACGGUAAGGCCCUUCGGGUACGACGAGUGGCGAACGGGUGGAGUAACACGUGGGUGAUCUGCCCUGCACUUCGGGAUAAGCCUGGGAAACUGGGUCUAAUACCGGAUAGGACUCCUGGCUUCAUGGUUGGGGGUGUAAAGCUUUUGCGGCGUGGGAUGGGCCCGCGGCCUAUCAGCUUGUUGGUGGGGUAAUGGCCUACCAAGGCGACGACGGGUAGCCGGCCUGAGAGGGUGACCGGCCACACUGGGACUGAGAUACGGCCCAGACUCCUACGGGAGGCAGCAGUGGGGAAUAUUGCACAAUGGGCGCAAGCCUGAUGCAGCGACGCCGCGUGAGGGAUGAC